CGUGUAGGCGGCCAGAUAGGUCAGCUGUGAAAACUCGAGGCUCAACCUCGAGAUGUCGGCUGAAACCAUCUGGCUAGAGUCCGGAAGAGGAGAAUGGAAUUCCCGGUGUAGCGGUGAAAUGCGCAGAUAUCGGGAAGAACACCCGUGGCGAAGGCGGUUCUCUGGGACGGUACUGACGCUGAGAGCGAAAGCGUGGGGAGCGAACA
rnacentral:rRNA from 1 species